GGCCUGCCUUCAAUAAUGAGAAAACACUUCCUUUAUAGGUCAUUCAUUAAAGAUCCCAACAUAUAAAGAUUUAAACAAUCCAAUUUAUUUCAACAUGUUCUGUUCAAAGGCAAUAACAAUUAAUAAAAAAAAAUCAUGCCUAAUAUAAAAUAUUGUUUGUUUCUCCAAUCUCGACCGACCCUGCAAAAAUGGUCCUACUCAUAAAAUUUUAUUGUCAAAACUAAGCCAAAUAUUAUUAUAUUCAUUUCUGAUUUUUCGGGCUUACCUGAUCAUCAGAUAAUAUUCAGGCUUUUGGGAAAAAUAAAAUUAUUUACCUACCUACCUACCCACACCUGGCUUGUCAGAAUAGGGAUUAGGGAAACAAACAAUAUAUUAAUUUAGGCCUCAUGUCUGUGAGCACUCAACCUGACCAUAAUAUAGGACAGUGGUUCAAAUAUUAACACAACAUAUGAACAUUCUAUAACAACUAUUGCAAGUGGCUCAACUUUAAAUAUCCCUGCAAGGCACUAAACAAAGAAUAUUAAAUCUUUUACACAAAGCACUGAAAUAAGAGAACUCAUAAGCAUGACAAGUCAGAUAUCUUGGUUUUUAUGAUCAUCAACAGGUCCUGCAGGUCUAUACUGAAGAGGAAUUUUAAUUGUUAAUACUUUUCUACAUAAUGUGCUAAUUGGAUUACUAAUGUGAAAUGAACUCAACUGUGUGUUUUUCUGGAAAAAGAAAUAGAAAAAAAUCCUACAAAAUUGCUAUAAACAAAAUGGAGUACUAUCAAAGAACACAAUUGUGUAAAAUGUAACAACCUACAUUCAUAUUCACUGAUGGAUUAUGGAGAAAUUAAGAAAAAUAAUAGUGUCUUUGUCAUGUUUGUUGUCGAAAUAAACACCUGCUUUAUCCAUUCAUGUACAUGGCUCCAUCAUAUCAAAUAUACAAAGAAGAUGUUUGAAGAACAUGUUGCAAAAAAUUUAUUCAACAAAUUGAAGGAAGAUGUCUUGUGGAUUGAAUUAUUUAUGCACUGAACUGUUAUGUAGGGGGUUGAAUACACAUCAGCUGUAACAGAAGACAAGUUAAUUUGACAUGAAAAGUGUUUAUUUUAUUUAAUAUUCAAAUAUGAGCACAAUAUUAAUAACAUCACAAAUGGUAUGCUAUUCAUAGCGUUUUGCUUAUUAUUGUAUGGUCUUAAACAUGCUAAACAUUCAGCCUUUUGUUUUUGUAUGUUAAAUACUCACCAUGAAAAUUUGUAUUACAGUAUUAAAGUUUUAAUUAUC